rnacentral:rRNA from 1 species
AUUGAACGCUGGCGGCAUGCCUUACACAUGCAAGUCGAACGGUAACAGGUCUUCGGAUGCUGACGAGUGGCGAACGGGUGAGUAAUGCAUCGGAACGUGCCCAGUUGUGGGGGAUAACUGCUCGAAAGAGCAGCUAAUACCGCAUACGACCUGAGGGUGAAGGCGGGGGAUCGCAAGACCUCGCGCAAUUGGAGCGGCCGAUGUCAGAUUAGGUAGUUGGUGGGGUAAAGGCUCACCAAGCCAACGAUCUGUGGCUGGUCUGAGAGGACGACCAGCCACACUGGGACUGAGACACGGCCCAGACUCCUACGGGAGGCAGCAGUGGGGAAUUUUGGACAAUGGGCGCAAGCCUGAUCCAGCAAUGCCGCGUGCAGGAAGAAGGCCUUCGGGUUGUAAACUGCUUUUGUACGGAACGAAAAGGUCUGGGUUAAUACCCUGGGCUCAUGACGGUACCGUAAGAAUAAGCACCGGCUAACUCCGUGCCAGCCGCCGCAGUAACAC